UGGCGGUGCUUUAGACUCUUCAGGGGAACCUGUCUCGUAAUCGAUAGUCCACGAUAUACCUAACCUUUUUUAGACAUCAGUAUGUAUACCGUCGUCGUCAGGUAACUUUUAAAAAUAAAGAAGUUAGCAACAAAAAUUAGAAUAAUUUUGUACGUCAGAUCAAGGUGCAGCUCAUAAAAAGGUGAGGAUGGGUUACAAUUAAGAAUUAUAAUCGGAAAGAGGUUUGGCAUAACCUCUAAUGAAGGAGGACGAAAGUAAAACUAUUAUAUAUAAAUUUUUUGAAUUUAGCUCUGAAGCGU
rnacentral:rRNA from 1 species